AAUUCCAUUUUCUAGGAAACUGGAGGUUAAACCAAGCCCUUCUAAGAAUUAGAGACAGAUAGAUAAAAAGGUAAAGGCUUCCCCUGGACGUUAAGUCCAGUCAUGUCUGACUCUGGGGGUUGGUGCUGAUCUCCAUUUCUAAGCUUACUUAGAAAUAAUGGAAUGUAUGGGAAUGCAAUGUAUCUCAUGGAAACCUGUGGAUACGGAAGUCUGCCUACACGUUGUGAUUCUUACUUGUUUUUAUUUGGAAUUCUGUAACUUUAAAGCUUGUCCCAUGGAUCUUCUAUCUCUCCAAAAAUGAUAGGAAUAACGUCUGUGAGUAGUUAGGAAUAUUUGGAGACACGUUCGUAUUAUUAAUCAUAAUACUUACUUUAUUUUUGUAUCCCACCUCCAUCUCCCCGAAGGGAUUCAGAGCUCACAUGGGCAUGAACCCAACAUCGACAUAACUUAAAACAAUCCAUGAAAUGUAAAACAAUAUAACAAUAUAGUAUAAAACAGCAUAAAACAACAUAAAAUAUUUUCCCUCCUUGGAGUGCACUUUCCUCAGCGCCAGCCCAAGGGAGCCAUGCUCUGCGUGAGGAUCAGGAUGAGGGCCUUCCCUUCUGCAGCCUCCCCAUUAUCUGAUGCCCUCCCCUUCAAAGCCCACCCAGUGCAGAUGUUGAUGUUAUUCCAGUCUCCAGACACAUCAUACUGCUGAGCUGAGCUGGAGGUAAUACGAGGCUGCAACACAUCCACUGCUCCCCAUUCAGGAGCAAAGGAAGGGCGGGAAGGAUGUAAGUACCCUCCGGAGGCAGGAAGAGGAGGGCAGAGGGGCCUGCAAAGAAAGGUAACUUCUGAACAAGUUCUGCGAAGAACAUCUUGUGAGAGUUUUGCCCGAGGAGUGCUCUAAGUCUAAAGUGAAUUCAAGAUGCACAGCAAUGACAACAAGAAGAAAUAAGUAGUAGAAAAAUACAUUUCAAGCUAAAUGCCUGUGCAAUUAUAAGGGGGGAAAUAAGAUUGUGCUGAAGAAAGAGACACUUGCUGAAAGUGAGAAGAAUGCUAAAGUAAUACAAAGACUAUGCUGUUCGGGAGGUUAUAUCUGUGAAUCCCUGGCAUGAUAUUUGAAUUAUAAUUGUAAAAGAAUGGCAAGUCCUCCACCUCCCUAUCAUGGAUCACACACAGGGGAGAAGUUACAUCAGUGUAUGGAAUGUGGGAAACAAUUUGAUAGCAAAAGUCAUCUUACUAGACAUGAACGCACCCACACAGGGGAGAAGCCUUAUAAAUGCAUGGAAUGUGGAGGAAGCUUCAGUCGCAGUGGCAGCCUACGUUCCCAUCAAAGGACCCACACAGGGGAGAAGCCAUAUAAAUGUAUGAAAUGUGGAGGAAGCUUCAGUCGCAGUGGCAGCCUACGUUCCCAUCAAAGGACCCACACAGGGGAGAAGCCCUAUAAAUGCAUGGAAUGUGGAGGAAGCUUCAGUCGCAGUGGCAGCCUACGUUCCCAUCAAAGGACCCACACAGGGGAGAAGCCAUAUAAAUGCAUGGAAUGUGGAAAGAGCUUCAGUCAGAGUUGCCAUCUACGUUCCCAUCAAAGGACCCACACAGGGGAGAAGCCACAUAAAUGCAUGGAAUGUGGAGAAAGCUUCAGUCAGAGUGGACAUCUACGUUUCCAUCAAAGGACCCACACAGGGGAGAAGCCACUUAAAUGCGUAGAAUGCGGAAAGAGCUUCAGUCACAGUUCUCAUUUGCGUACCCAUCAAAGGACCCACACAGGGGAGAAGCCAUAUAAAUGCAUAGAAUGCGGAGUAAGCUUCAGUCACAGAGGCAGUCUACGUUACCAUCAAAGGACCCACACAGGGGAGAAGCCAUACAAAUGCAUAGAAUGCGGAAAGAGCUUCAGUCGGAGUGACAGUCUACGUUCUCAUCAAAAGACCCACACAGGGGAGAAGCCACAUAAAUGCGUAGAAUGCGGAAAGAGCUUCAGUCACAGUUCUCAUUUGCGUACCCAUCAAAGGACCCACACAGGGGAGAAGCCAUAUAAAUGCAUAGAAUGUGGAGAAAGCUUCAGUCGGAGUGACAGUCUACGUUCUCAUCAAAAGACCCACACUGGGGAGAAGCUACAUAAAUGCGUAGAAUGCGGAAAGAGCUUCAGUCGCAGUGACAAUCUACAUUACCAUCAAAGGACCCACACAGGGGAGAAGCCAUACAAAUGCAUAGAAUGCGGAAAGAGCUUCAGUUGGAGUGACAGUCUACGUUCUCAUCAAAAGACCCACACAGGGGAGAAGCCACAUAAAUGCGUAGAAUGCGGAAAGAGCUUCAGUCACAGUUCUCAUUUGCGUACCCAUCAAAGGACCCACACAGGGGAGAAGCCAUAUAAAUGCAUAGAAUGUGGAGAAAGCUUCAGUCGGAGUGACAGUCUACGUUCUCAUCAAAAGACCCACACUGGGGAGAAGCCACAUAAAUGCGUAGAAUGCGGAAAGAGCUUUAGUCACAGUUCUCAUUUGCGUACCCAUCAAAGGACCCACACAAGGGAGAAGCCAUAUAAAUGUAUGGAAUGUGGAAAGAGCUUUAGAGAAAGUUCAGCAUAUAUUAGACAUCACAGAACCCAUGCGCCACUAGAGGAGACGGGCCUUUAAGUUUCCAAGCCCUCUUCAAAAGAACAUUGGAAGGAAAGAGGAAAGCCACCACCUUGCUCUCUCUCUCUCUCCCAUGAACUGCAAUUUGACUGCUGCUGACAGGUCUCACUCAGAGGGGGACUUUUCUCAGCAAGAUUUGAAGGCAUUCACCUAACCUCCUCCACAAGGAAACCCAUCACAGGCUUCUAGGAUGGUCUGUGAAGGUUUGCUGAAAUGAGCAGAAGCUGAGAUCUCUGGAUAAAAAGGGUUCUGAAAAAGAAUAGCUCUUUGGUAGCAGAUUACGUCAUAUCUUGAUACGCUUGUCUCAUGUCUUGGCUCUACUGCCCCUCGGUUAGAAUUUUGGGCUCCAGCCAUGUACUUGUAACCCUUUUCUGGACUUUGUUGUGUCCUGAAUCGUUGACUAAAUUCUGGACUGACUGCCUGGUUUCAUUUAUGAACCAGGAUUUUGUUUGUAUCCCUGACUUUUUGAGUUGUCUUUGAGAAUUCUGUUUGUACUCUUGAUUUUUUGGUUGUUAUUUUAUCAUCUCUGUCGAAUGAACUCUGGGCAUGUGACUAUUGGACUGUUACCUUGGCUAUUGUUUUUUCUUGCUCCUGACCUGGAUCUGCCGUUCUUGACAUGUCUGCAUUAAUUGGGCUCUUGACCUUGACUUGUGUUCACUGUUACUCCGACUGUGUUGAUGCAAUCAUAUUAUUUUAGCAGGACUCAAGAUUUUAAAGGUAAAGGAUUUAAAGUUUCAAUGUAAAGACUCAAGUCUUGAAAGGUAUGGUCUUGGCUUACCUUGUGUUCCUCAGACCUUAUACCGGGAGAGCCCUGGUACACGAGACCAUCAGUCUUGCUUUGUGUGUACUAAUCCCUGCUUAGAGUGAACCCAUUUCUGUAUUUGAGACUGUUUAAUCACCACCUUUGGCAAAGGGUCCAUUACGAUACACUGCAUAUCUCCCUAACUGUAUGGAAUGGAAGACAAAGAAUGAUCACAACAGAUGAUGCAGAUUGAUGAUGAUGAUGGUGAUGAUAAUGAUAAUGAUGAUACUUUAUUUGUAACCUAUCUCCCCAAGGGGACUCAGGGCGGUUUCCAGGAAGUAACAAAAUGGCAAACAUUCAAUGCCACAAUGUCAAAAACAAUAGAUAUGACAAUCUCAAUAUAACCCUAUGAACGAAACUAAAAAAAAUAACCAAAUAUUGAAACGGAAACAUAAUCUCACACAUUUACCAUGGUAAAAUCCUACAUGUUUCACAUAAGGUAGUUUACGGCUUCCCAGGAGCUGAGGUAGGUGUCCAAUAUCUGGGCAAGGAUAUUUAUAUGAUGUAGUAGUCCUCCUCCUCUCCAUAAGCUAAAGUGCAUAAAUGGCUUUUUAAAAGCUUUUUGAAGGAGAGGAGAGGGGGCCAUUCUUAGUUCUUUAGGGAGGGAGUUCCAGAGACAAGGGGCGAUCUCAGAGAAGGCCCCUCUCUUGUCCCCCCACAACCGAGGUUGGGACAGGAGUGGGACCGAGAAGAGGGUCUCUGCAGACCACUGCACCCACGCUGGUUUAUUUAUGGAGAUGCCAUUUUUCAAAAACUCUGGACCUGAAAUGCUUAGGGCAUUAUAGGUAAUAACCAGCACUUUGUAUUAAGCCCAGGAGCGUAUGGGCAGACAGUGGUUCGUUCCCUUUAUGGUGCUCCAGAAAUUAACCUGGUUGCGGAUCUCUGAAGAAUUGAAGCUUCCGAACUAUCUUCAAAGGCAGCCCCAUGUAGAGAGCGUGGCAGUGGUCCAGGUUGGAUGUAACUGGACUCAUUAAUCCGUUGAGAUGGACAAAUUAACUAAAUGGAUGAAAUAUAGAACAGCAUUUAGAGGAAUAGAGGUAAAAAUCGUAUAGUGAAUGAGAUGUUUAUAGACUAGUGUUCGUUGUCCGUUAGUUUUGAUCUUAUUGUACAAGACGUGUGUCCUUGUUCGCUUUAUAUUUGGUUAAGUAGUACUUCUAAAAAUGGACCAAAAUGAUAAUUUGUGUAAAAAUAAAUAAAUACCUAAAUUGUAAUUUGCAUAAGCAUGCUUUGUUUUGUUUCUGUUGUUUUUUGUCUUUGAAUAAAAAUGGUUUAUUCUAUGAAGUGUGAUACAUCAGCUUUAAAAAGCCAACGUGAUUCUAGGCUGUACCAAUGGGAGGGUGAUGUCUAGAUCCGGGUCAGUUUUAGUCGACUCUCUUCUACACUUUGGUCAGACCUGCCCUGGAAUAACCCUGUGUCCAGAUCUGAGCAGCGCAAUUCAAGCAAGAGUUCGAGAUGCUAGAAUGUCUCCAGAGAAGGGCUCCAGGGAAUGGCUGAGGGAGAUUGAUGUGUUCAGUCUGGAGGGGAAAAAAAAGGCUGAGGGGACAGGAGAGCCAAUAUUUGGAAGGUUGUCCCUUUGAGGAGAAAAGGGCAAGUGUUUCCUGCUUCUCUGGAGACAAAAUACAAAGCAACUGAUUCCCAUUGCAGGAAAGAAGCUUCCACCUAAACAUUAGGAAGCAUUUCUCAAUGGUAAGAGCUGUUCAGCCAUGGAAGCCUUGUCCCUUCUCAGGAGCCUCCCUUCCCAAGCCCUGGCCUUCCACCUCCUGGGGACUCCAUGUCCCAGAAUCCCUGACCUUGGACCAAGAGAGCUUGGGCUCCUGGGUGUUGAAGCCCAAGAAAUCCCAGAGGAAUAGAGUUUGGGAAUCCUUGCUCCAGAGAGUGGAGGGAAUUGCUCUCUUGGACUACAACUCCCAUAAACACUAUAAAAAGACCUGGCAUGGGGGUUGUAGGACCCUGGGAGUUGUAGUCCAAGACAAAUAUGUCUCCCAAGUCCUUGCAAUUAAAGGCUUUCUUUCUCAUGGUGUCGAAUGUGUUUGUGUUCAUCCAUAUAGAGAAGGGUUUAGAAAGAAACAAGGAGAAUGUGCAUUGAGUAUCUGCCACGACUUUAAUGUUUACUUGUCAUUCUGAUGGCAGUGGUUGAUCAGGUAUAUAUUAAUCCAAUGUCCACAAUGUAAUAAAGAAUCCUAUGUUAUUAUCUCCCAUAAUCUCCCAUAAUCCUUCCCCACAGGAAGACCUAAGGAGGCCAGAUAAAGAGAGACCCUGGUUGUUUAUAGAUUUUGGGAAUUUGGGUUGUUUUGGGUCUUAGGCCUCCUGAGGAGAGAGGGCCCAGAUGCCCUUCUCAUUGGAUUCCCACGUCCUCUCUUUUUGAGGUGAUUUCAGUAGAGACCACAUAUAGUGAGUCUAUACCUGGUGAGGCUCCACUAAAUCAGAUCGGCCCGGACAGAGAACAAAGUUAUCUGGGUUUGAAAGCAAAGAAGAUGACUUUCAAUCCACUUGCACAGGUAUAAAGUGCUAAACGGUUCCGGCCCAGCUUACUUGUCCGAACGUGUCUCCCGCUAUGACCCAUCACGGAAUCUAAGAUCUUCCAGGGAGGCCCUGCUCUCGGUUCACAGGUGCGGCUGGCGGGGAUGAGGGACAGGGCCUUUUCAGUGGUGGCCCCCCGCCUAUGGAACACCCUCCCAAACAAAAUUAGACAGGCUCCCGCCCUCCUGUCUUUCUGAAAGAGAACAAAAACGUGGUUAUGGGAGCAGGCAUUUGAGCAUGAGUAGCAGCAGAAUCGCGAUAUGAAUAUAUGACUCCUUGACAGACCCCCACCUGGACAUGAAAAGCACCUUAAAUGUAUAUUUAAAUGUACAAUGAUGCAGGUUUUUAAGGUAUAUUUUAAUUUUUAUUGUAAUUUUUUAAUCUUGGAAGACUUUUAAUCUGAUGUAAACUGUGUUUCUGAUGUAUAUUGUAAGCCGCUCUGAGUCCCCUGAUGGGUGAGAAGGGCGGGGUAGAAAUGAUGUAAUAAUAAAUCAAUCAAUAUCCAGA